rnacentral:lncRNA from 1 species
CGCCUUUUCUCUUUUACUUUCCUUUUUAGUUUUAUUUUAGGAUUCCCUAUUUUUAAUGUUCAUACAGAGAUUUCUUUAACUGAAAUACCGAAUAGUUUCUUUGGUGUGAAAAACUAUAAUAGUACACAGGAUCCUAAUGAGAUAAUUAAUAAUGUGAAAUAGGAAGUAAAGGGCUAAAGGUGUAAGGAAAGUGGGAAGGGUGGGGGAAAGGUAAUAAGGGAGAGGAAAAAAAUAUGAGAAACUGAAAAAAUGGAAAUAAAGUGUUUGUAAAUGGGGAGGGGAGGAAGGGGUGAAGGGAGGGCAGGGACAAGGGGAAAAAAUGAGAAUCAAGACCUAUUAUGUAAAGGUACAGAAUCCCAAUGAUGAAUGUAAUUGUAUUGUAUACCUAGAUUGUACCAAUAAACUCAAUAAAAAGAAAAAAAAAUAAAAAUGAUUUUUCCAGAAGUAUAGUUUUUGGAUUUGGGCCUUUCAGGAUUUUAUCAUUUCAGGAUUAUGACAUUCUAGAAUGUGUGUUUUGCUUUGUGGGAUUAAGAAAUUUACCUUCGAUUAUCCAGGAAGUCCACAGACAGGUGAGCUAUGAACCUAGGUUUAUUUUCCUCCAAAGCGGAUGUUCUUGGGCAAUGUUGUCUCCUGGGUGGUACAGCCCAUGUAUUCAGAGAAAACAUGUGAGGACGGACAGUACUCUUUGCCAUUGCUUAGAAAAAUUGGGACUACAUGACUUCUAGGUCAUUAACAAGCCAGGAGAGGUGCACUAUAGCCCAAUCUUUCUUCUAAGCUCCCGAUUCUUACACGAACCCGAGAAGUUGAGAGUGACACCACACAUCACCGAGCGGAACUCUCAAGCUUAUUCAAAAUCAGGCUCUGAGUCUUGACUAGAACUGUGUAACAUCCACGCCUCCUUCGGCUCCCAGGUGCAGCUUUCCCGUCUCUGCCCUUGUCCGUGAGAAGUGCGUCUUGCUUACUUUCUCUCCUGCCGGUGCAGUGCUCACCGAGGCGCUGCCUUGUUAACACCGGAAACGUCGCUGGUGGGUGCACACCAGAACAGCAGGGACAGCACAGCUCUUGUUCUCCUUACCAGUGCCCAGCAUGCAGGUGCCAUUGAGGAUCUGAGAAAUUAAUGCCGGCCCCGCAUCGCGUCGCAGAUGUGUAGAGGUGGUAGCUUUGUUGCUUCUGAAGAACCUGCAAAUCUGCUCAAAGAGAAAUUGCCGGGGUGCUUUAAUGUAGAAAACGUCUCUGUGGAAAGUGACUUGUUUGCUGAAUUAAUUCAGAGAUAAAACAUGUGACAGUGAAGAAA